CGCAUCUGUGCAUGCAGCAUAUCAAUAAGCGGAGGAAAAGAAACUAACAAGGAUUCCCCUAGUAACGGCGAGUGAAGCGGGAAGAGCUCAAAUUUGAAAUCUUAAAGGGUUUCCCUUUACGAAUUGUAGUUUAAAGAAGUGUUUUCUGUUGAGGUUUUGGUAAAAGUUCUUUGGAAUAGGACAUCAUAGAGGGUGAGAAUCCCGUAUUUGACCUUUACUUUCAACUUUGUGAUACACUUUCAAAGAGUCGGAUUGUUUGGGAAUGCAGUCCAAAAUGGGUGGUAAAUUUCAUCUAAAGCUAAAUAUUGGCGAGAGACCGAUAGCGAACAAGUACCGUGAGGGAAAGAUGAAAAGAACUUUGAAAAGAGAGUUAAACAGUACGUGAAAUUGUCAAAAGGGAAGCGUUUGACACCAGUGUUGUUUUUCUGAAAAUCAAUUAAAGAACUGUUUAUGCUAAGCUGUUUAGACUUUAUCAGCUAACUGUUUAGUUUUGAGCUUUUCUUUAAUGCACUUUUCAGUUAACAAGUCAACAUCAAUUUCUUUUGCUGUAAAAAAGCUUGAGGAAGGUGGCUUGAGAUUCGUCUUAAGUGUUUAUAGCCUCUUGCCUAUGCAGUCGGAGAGAUUGAGGUCUGCAGCGUAGAUCCUCCGGGGCUAAAUGCAUUUGUGCUAAGUUAUAGCAUUUUAUAGACAACUUGUUGACUAUGAUUUGUCUUGUAGCUUACUCGCUUAUGUUAUUUUACCUACGCUUAGGAUGUUGAGUCAUCACACAUCUCU
rnacentral:rRNA from 1 species